rnacentral:rRNA from 1 species
GAUGAACGCUGGCGGCGUGCCUAAUACAUGCAAGUCGAGCGAACAGACGAGGAGCUUGCUCCUCUGACGUUAGCGGCGGACGGGUGAGUAACACGUGGAUAACCUACCUAUAAGACUGGGAUAACUUCGGGAAACCGGAGCUAAUACCGGAGAAUAUAUUGAACCGCAUGGUGCAAUAGUGAAAGACGGUUUUGCUGUCACUUAUAGAUGGAUCCGCGCCGCAUUAGCUAGUUGGUAAGGUAACGGCUUACCAAGGCAACGAUGCGUAGCCGACCUGAGAGGGUGAUCGGCCACACUGGAACUGAGACACGGUCCAGACUCCUACGGGAGGCAGCAGUAGGGAAUCUUCCGCAAUGGGCGAAAGCCUGACGGAGCAACGCCGCGUGAGUGAUGAAGGUCUUCGGAUCGUAAAACUCUGUUAUUAGGGAAGAACAAAUGUGUAAGUAACUAUGCACGUCUUGACGGUACCUAAUCAGAAAGCCACGGCUAACUACGUG